GACGAAGGAUGCAAGCGUUAUCCGGAUUCAUUGGGUUUAAAGGGAGCGUAGGCGGACUUGUAAGUCAGUGGUGAAAUCUGUGGGCUUAACCCACAAACUGCCAUUGAUAUUGCAGGUCUAGAGUACAGUUGCCGUUGGCGGAAUAUGACAUGUAGUGGUGAAAUACUUAGAUAUGUCAUAGAACACCGAUUGCGAAGGCAGCUAACGAAGCUGUAACUGACGCUGAGGCUCGAAAGUGCGGGGAUCAAUCAGG
rnacentral:rRNA from 1 species